ACUCCUACGGGAGGCAGCAGUGGGGAAUAUUGCACAAUGGGCGCAAGCCUGAUGCAGCAACGCCGCGUGAGGGACGACGGCCUUCGGGUUGUAAACCUCUUUUAGUAGGGAAGAAGCGAAAGUGACGGUACCUGCAGAAAAAGCACCGGCUAACUACGUGCCAGCAGCCGCGGUAAUACGUAGGGUGCAAGCGUUAUCCGGAAUUAUUGGGCGUAAAGAGCUCGUAGGCGGUUUGUCGCGUCUGCUGUGAAAACUGGAGGCUCAACCUCCAGCCUGCAGUGGGUACGGGCAGACUAGAGUGCGGUAGGGGAGAUUGGAAUUCCUGGUGUAGCGGUGGAAUGCGCAGAUAUCAGGAGGAACACCGAUGGCGAAGGCAGAUCUCUGGGCCGUAACUGACGCUGAGGAGCGAAAGCAUGGGGAGCGAACAGGAUUAGAUACCCUGGUAGUCCAUGCCGUAAACGUUGGGAACUAGAUGUAGGGGCCAUUCCACGGUUUCUGUGUCGCAGCUAACGCAUUAAGUUCCCCGCCUGGGGAGUACGGCCGCAAGGCUAAAACUCAAAGGAAUUGACGGGGGCCCGCACAAGCGGCGGAGCAUGCGGAUUAAUUCGAUGCAACGCGAAGAACCUUACCAAGGCUUGACAUAUACCGGAAAAGUGCAGAAAUGUGCUCCCCGCAAGGUCGGUAUACAGGUGGUGCAUGGUUGUCGUCAGCUCGUGUCGUGAGAUGUUGGGUUAAGUCCCGCAACGAGCGCAACCCUCGUUCUAUGUUGCCAGCACGUAAUGGUGGGAACUCAUAGGAGACUGCCGGGGUCAACUCGGA
rnacentral:rRNA from 1 species